AACGAACGCUGGCGGCAUGCCUAACACAUGCAAGUCGAACGAGACCUUCGGGUCUAGUGGCGCACGGGUGCGUAACGCGUGGGAACCUGCCCUUAGGUUCGGAAUAACUCCCCGAAAGGGGUGCUAAUACCGGAUAAUGUCUUCGGACCAAAGAUUUAUCGCCUUUGGAUGGGCCCGCGUUGGAUUAGCUAGUUGGUAGGGUAAAAGCCUACCAAGGAGACGAUCCAUAGCUGGUCUGAGAGGAUGAUCAGCCACACUGGGACUGAGACACGGCCCAGACUCCUACGGGAGGCAGCAGUGGGGAAUAUUGGACAAUGGGCGAAAGCCUGAUCCAGCAAUGCCGCGUGAGUGAUGAAGGCCUUAGGGUUGUAAAGCUCUUUUACCCGGGAUGAUAAUGACAGUACCGGGAGAAUAAGCGCCGGCUAACUCCGUG
rnacentral:rRNA from 1 species